rnacentral:rRNA from 1 species
GUGUGUUCCAGGUAAAUCCGGUUCACUUUAACACUGAGGCGUGACGACGAGGCACUACGGUGCUGAAGCAACAAAUGCCCUGCUUCCAGGAAAAGCCUCUAAGCAUCAGGUAACAUCAAAUCGUACCCCAAACCGACACAGGUGGUCAGGUAGAGAAUACCAAGGCGCUUGAGAGAACUCGGGUGAAGGAACUAGGCAAAAUGGUGCCGUAACUUCGGGAGAAGGCACGCUGACACGUAGGUGAAGUGAUUUACUCAUGGAGCUGAAGUCAGUCGAAGAUACCAGCUGGCUGCAACUGUUUAUUAAAAACACAGCACUGUGCAAACACGAAAGUGGACGUAUACGGUGUGACGCCUGCCCGGUGCCGGAAGGUUAAUUGAUGGGGUCAGCGCAAGCGAAGCUCCUGAUCGAAGCCCCGGUAAACGGCGGCCGUAACUAUAACGGUCCUAAGGUAGCGAAAUUCCUUGUCGGGUAAGUUCCGACCUGCACGAAUGGCGUAAUGAUGGCCAGGCUGUCUCCACCCGAGACUCAGUGAAAUUGAACUCGCUGUGAAGAUGCAGUGUACCCGCGGCAAGACGGAAAGACCCCGUGAACCUUUACUAUAGCUUGACACUGAACAUUGAGCCUUGAUGUGUAGGAUAGGUGGGAGGCUUUGAAGUGUGGACGCCAGUCUGCAUGGAGCCGACCUUGAAAUACCACCCUUUAAUGUUUGAUGUUCUAACGUGGACCCGUUACCCGGGUUGCGGACAGUGUCUGGUGGGUAGUUUGACUGGGGCGGUCUCCUCCUAAAGAGUAACGGAGGAGCACGAAGGUUGGCUAAUCCUGGUCGGACAUCAGGAGGUUAGUGCAAUGGCAUAAGCCAGCUUGACUGCGAGCGUGACGGCGCGAGCAGGUGCGAAAGCAGGUCAUAGUGAUCCGGUGGUUCUGAAUGGAAGGGCCAUCGCUCAACGGAUAAAAGGUACUCCGGGGAUAACAGGCUGAUACCGCCCAAGAGUUCAUAUCGACGGCGGUGUUUGGCACCUCGAUGUCGGCUCAUCACAUCCUGGGGCUGAAGUAGGUCCCAAGGGUAUGGCUGUUCGCCAUUUAAAGUGGUACGCGAGCUGGGUUUAGAACGUCGUGAGACAGUUCGGUCCCUAUCUGCCGUGGGCGCUGGAGAACUGAGGGGGGCUGCUCCUAGUACGAGAGGACCGGAGUGGACGCAUCACUGGUGUUCGGGUUGUCAUGCCAAUGGCACUGCCCGGUAGCUAAAUGCGGAAGAGAUAAGUGCUGAAAGCAUCUAAGCACGAAACUUGCCCCGAGAUGAGUUCUCCCUGAGACUUAAAGUCUCCUGAAGGAACGUUGAAGACGACGACGUUGAUAGGCCGGGUGUGUAAGCGCAGCGAUGCGUUGAGCUAACCGGU